rnacentral:tRNA from 1 species
GGAGUUGUGGCUCAGCGGUAAAGUGCUCACCUAGCACGUGAGAAGCCCUGGGUUCAAUCCUCAGCACCA